UAGAAACAACAUGCAAAGUGAAAAGGAAAAUGGAACCAAGUGAAAAAUGGAAUAAAAUAUAUAAGGAAAAUUGUAGGCAAAUUGCGCUGAAAUGCGCAGAAAAUACGUUGGCCUUAUAGAGUGGCUUGCAAAUGGCUGCAGUUAGUAUGCUGCAAAUGAACCACAAUCAAAUUUAAAUCAAAAUAAACAACAUUUAACAUUUUCAAACAGAGGGAGAGUGAGUGAGAGCGAAGGUCAAAAAUCCGCUUAGGAAUAAUUUAUGUAAGGUCUGCAUAAUACAAGAGCUGUCAGCUGCCCAGCUUCAAGAGUCGACUGACUCGACUCAGAUUCGACAUUGAAGUGCAGUCGAAAGUGGGCAACCAAAGCUGCGUGUAAACACAGAAAAAAAAGGGAUACAUACAGGAUAUUUGGAGGCUUCACACCUGGCCUUGAAACUUGGAUUGGCAGCGAUGACGAUGACGCCUGGACCGGACAAACAGGCAAACAAGCAAAUGUUUGCUUUGUAUAUUUUUUUGUACUUUUUAAUUAAAACUCCGUCGUCUCGGGUCGGAUUCACAACAUAACGCAACACAGAAAUUAAUUAAAUGCUGUGCCGAGGCAAGGUCACCGAAAAUUGUUUUCUUUGGCAGCUUGGAAAAUCAACAGCUAUGCAGCAAGAGUUUGGAAAACUUAAACACACUCAACUCUUGGCCAAAUGGAGGAAAGGCCAAGCCAGCAGCAAGGAUUUCUUUGUACGUCAUUGCGUAUGCCAACUUAAAGCAAACUCGGUGCAUAAAAUUAAGCAAUUAAGUUGAAAAAAUACCAAACCAUUUAAUACGCUUAGUCAAUGCAUAGAGAGUAAUUGACAACAAAAUGGAACACAAUUUGGAUUUAAAUCAUUUUAUUACUGAAAUCAAUUUCAUUCCCUGCCUGAAAUAUCGAUACUGCCACGCCCACUCACUGUCAAUGUUUGUAGGGACCAAACAGGAGACUGAAAUGAAAGAGGCCAUAAAUAAAGCGACGAACUGAGCUGUGUGCGUGCUGGUGUAUUUUUAAUACAACAAUUAAAUGCAAAUACGAGCACAAACGCAACAAGCAAAAAUGAAACUCGGCCCUCGCCAUACUGACAGUGUGGCAUCAGACCAAAUGCUGAAGGAUGGCCAACAACAGGACCAAAUAGAGCAGCUGCAGGAUGGCCAAGAACAACAAUUCCCAAUUGGGCUGGCCAUCAACAACUUUUUUGUGCUAUCACAAAUAUUUUUGAAGCCGGCCAAAGGAAAAACAAGCAACAGCCAGACUGACUGAAUAUAUGGACUAUGGCCACGCCCCAAGCCACCCAAAGCAUUUGCCAUGGGGGAAGGGGAAACAUAUAUAUAUGGCAUGAAUACAAAAAAGGAAAAAAAUGGGGAUAAACUGGGGGGCUGAGGCCGCCUUCAUGUGGUUAAGUAACAAAUUGGCUUACACUCGCC